GGAAGUAAAAGCCGUAACAAGGUCUCCGUUGGUGAACCAGCGGAGGGAUCAUUGCCGAGCCCGGCUCCAAAGCGCGCGAACCUAUACCCCAUAUGCCUCGGCGGGGGGCCCCCCCCAGGGCGAGCGUGGGGGGGGGCCGCGGGGGACCCGCCGGCGGCGCACCAGCACCGAACCUUGCACGUUACCUUCCAAGCACAACCUUCAGCAAUGGAUCUCUUGGCACUG
rnacentral:misc_RNA from 1 species